UACAGCCGGAAAACACAAAAA
rnacentral:piRNA from 1 species